rnacentral:rRNA from 1 species
CCUACGGGAGGCAGCAGUAGGGAAUCUUCGGCAAUGGACGGAAGUCUGACCGAGCAACGCCGCGUGAGUGAAGAAGGUCUUCGGAUCGUAAAGCUCUUUUGUAAGAGAAGAACGAGUGUGAGAUUGGAAAGUUAACACCGUGACGGUAUCUUACAAGAAACGGACGGCUAACUACGUGCCAGCAGCCGCGGUAAUACGUAGGUCCCGAGCGUUGUCCGGAUUUAUUGGGCGUAAAGCGAGCGCAGACGGUUAGAAAGUCUGAAGUUAAAGGCUGUGGCUUAACCAUAGUACGCUUUGGAAACUGUUUAACUUGAGUGCAAGAGGGGAGAGUGGAAUUCCAUGUGUAGCGGUGAAAUGCGUAGAUAUAUGGAGGAACACCGGUGGCGAAAGCGGCUCUCUGGCUUGUAACUGACGCUGAGGCUCGAAAGCGUGGGGAGCAAACAGGAUUAGAUACCCUGGUAGUC